AGUGAUAUAAUUCAGCCGUUGCAAGCUUCUCUAGCUUAUGUGCAUCUUGUGGCUACACAAAGUCAUUAAAUUAAACAUAUCAAUCUCAAUUAUCAAGUAAUCCUUACUCCUUUCUUCUUUGCAUGAUCCUGUUAUAUAUUAAGUUCACCGUAUGCUCAAAUGUUGACUGUCUAGAUGACACUAUUAGAAAAAGAAAACAAAAACUUAAGCUAACAUAUUUCAAUUCAGCACAUCAUCAUAUCAUAAAGGUUUAGCCAAGAAACAUUUCCAGCUCUAUUAGCUGACAUGCUUGCAAGAAGCAUAUAUGUUUAAACAAACCUCAAAGUACAAGCAAAAUUCUUCAACAAAGUUCAGGUUUUAUCGAUUCAUUGAUUAUAAAUUAUAUACACUGGAAGAAGAGCAUGUGACCAAAGUCUUCAUAUUAAGUCAUUUUAUUGUGAUUUCAAAUCUAAAACAAGGCUGAGAUAUAAGUAGAGCCUCAGAAGUUUGUGUAAGAUAUUAAGUCACUUGUAUACUUCCAUACAUCUUAAACUUAUAGGAUGGUUGGUUCAUAGUAGUUUUUUAAUCCUUAUUGCCCCCAUUUUUCCAUAAAAAAAUAAACAUCUAAUAGAUAAGUUUGGGUGGGUACUUUGCACUUCCAAGCUUUAAGCUCAAAUAACUCUAAUGUGAGGGAUCACCCAACAACUUAAGUAAAUUUAAGAGGAUAAUAUUUUAAAAAACAAUACAAUACCUUCAAUCAAAAGUUUACAGGAAGAUUAAUUAGGUAGUAAAACAAAAGCAGUAGCGUGCACCAUGCACAUGAAAUAGAAGAGAGAUCUUACAAGUUACAAGGAAGGUUGUGGCUCCACAAUAGAAUAAGGCCCCUGUUGAAACUGCAAGUAAGGGCAGAGUAUAAU
rnacentral:lncRNA from 1 species